rnacentral:rRNA from 1 species
UUGGAGGGCAAGUCUGGUGCCAGCAGCCGCGGUAAUUCCAGCUCCAAUAGCGUAUAUUAAAGUUGUUGCAGUUAAAAAGCUCGUAGUUGAAUUUCGGGGUUUAUACGUUGGUCGGGCUUUUGGGUCUGUACUGGCGUAAUGAAUUCCUACCUUCUGAAUAACCAGCAUGUCAUUAAUUUGAUGCGCCGGGGAAGCAGGACUGUUACCUUGAAAAAAUUAGAGUGCUUAAAGCAGGCUAUUGCCUGAAUACAUUAGCAUGGAAUAAUGAAAUAGGACGGCAUGGUUCUAUUUUGUUGGUUUCUAGGAUCACCGUAAUGAUUAAUAGGGAUAGUUGGGGGCAUUAGUAUUCAAUUGUCAGAGGUGAAAUUCUUGGAUUUAUUGAAGACUAACUUCUGCGAAAGCAUUUGCCAAGGAUGUUUUCAUUAAUCAAGAACGAAAGUUAGGGGAUCGAAGACGAUCAGAUACCGUCGUAGUCUUAACCAUAAACUAUGCCGACUAGGGAUCGGACGAUGUUAAUUUUUUAAUGACUCAUUCGGCGCCUUACGGGAAAC